rnacentral:piRNA from 1 species
UUGUGUCUCUUAAUGCUGUUCAGUG